rnacentral:lncRNA from 1 species
UUUAUUAGAAAAAGUAAUAAAGAUUCAUUACUUUGGAGGCAUGUGUCAAGUGUCGAUUAUACCCCCCCGGCCUCUUUUUUGAAACCCAAAAUAUGGUCACCCUAGUCCUGAUAUACUUCGGGGAAUUAUUUUCCCGUAAAUCACAGCUUUUUCCAAACAGACUCCUAGCUGUGUUCAGCAGUCUUCAGCUCUUCGGAUUUUUUUACUGUUCUUUACUGUUGUAAACCACACCUCCGAUGGCCAAUCUGGAAAGGAGAUAAACUUGUUAUUCCACACUCUUAUGUUGCACUACUCCGUUGUGUGCAAGAUUUCUCCCGACGGUGUAUUUUUUUUUUAAUCUGCCUGCAGAAUAUACGCCUGCAUCGAUUAAACAACACGACGAUCGUAUUUUUGCACUUCUGUCCCACUGGCUCCUUCGCCAGCCUCCACUGGCAAUGUGGACUUUAGCGAAUGUCCAUCCAGCCACAUUCGAAACGCUUCCUCCAAAACAGGGUCACGGGGUUGGAGCCCAUCCUGGCAGGCAACAGGAGCUGGGCAGCGUUCACUUGGAUUGGGCGCCGGGGCAUCGCACAAUCAGGAGAAAGUGAUACCUGGCCGAUCAAAAAUGGCAGAAACGUCCCUGUUCGAAAAACGCAACAUGUCCAGUUUCGACAGAAGCGCUGAUUUCUUGCUCACGGACGAGGAGAGCCUUCGUGCGGUAGAGCGCGCUGUCAAGGCAGCCAUAGAGACGGUGCUGUACGUGGUGUCGAGGAUAAGCGACAGUAAAAUGCGGGAGUACCAGAUCCGGGUGGCAGAGGCCGAGAAAGAGAACGAGCGGCUGCGGGCCCAGGGGGAGGCUGCGGUCCGGGAGCUGACGGACCUGCGCGUCCGCUUGCGGGCGCCUGAGCCGCCUCCUCUGUCGCACCCGGGCCACGCUACUGGCGGCGGGGAGUCCGGGAUCUCCGAGGAGGUUUCCGUUGCGUCCCCGGAGGACCCGAGAGAAGAGGAUUUGCGUGCAGACCGUGAAACAGCAGACUUGUGUCCCAGUGAGGAGGAGGAGGGAGGCACAGUUUCAGGUCUGUUUGAGAAGGGGACUGUGAGGGAAUGGAUUAAGGAAGAG